rnacentral:sRNA from 1 species
CUUCCACAUAAAAUUAAUUCCAUUUUUGGAUUACCUCUCUGUGGCUCCAAAAAAGGUGUUUAUGGAGAUGUGCAGCGUGUGAAGAUUUUGUACAAUAAGAAAGACAGCGCUCUAAUACAGAUGGCUGACGGAAACCAAUCACAACUUGCCAUGAAUCAUCUUAAUGGACAGAAAAUGUAUGGAAAAAUUAUUCGUGUUACUCUGUCUAAACAUCAGACUGUACAGCUACCUCGAGAGGGACUUGAUGAUCAAGGGCUAACAAAAGAUUUUGGUAAUUCCCCAUUGCAUCGUUUUAAGAAACCUGGAUCCAAAAAUUUUCAAAACAUUUUUCCUCCUUCUGCCACCCUUCACCUAUCUAAUAUCCC